rnacentral:rRNA from 1 species
UACAGAGGGGGCAAGCGUUGUUCGGAAUUACUGGGCGUAAAGGGCGCGUAGGCGGCCUUCUAAGUCGAACGUGAAAUCCCCCGGGCUCAACCCGGGAACUGCGUCCGAUACUGGAAGGCUUGAAUCCGGGAGAGGGAUGCGGAAUUCCAGGUGUAGCGGUGAAAUGCGUAGAUAUCUGGAGGAACACCGGUGGCGAAGGCGGCAUCCUGGACCGGUAUUGACGCUGAGGCGCGAAAGCCAGGGGAGCAAACGGG